rnacentral:rRNA from 1 species
UCGGGAUAACAACCUGGAAACAGAUGCUAAUACCGGAUAACAACAGAUGAUGCCUAUCAACUGUUUAAAAGAUGGUUCUGCUAUCACUCUUGGAUGGACCUGCGGUGCAUUAGCUAGUUGGUAGGGUAACGGCCUACCAAGGCGAUGAUGCAUAGCCGAGUUGAGAGACUGAUCGGCCACAUUGGGACUGAGACACGGCCCAAACUCCUACGGGAGGCAGCAGGG